rnacentral:ncRNA from 1 species
GAGCGUAAAAACACAGCCCGGUUGGUAGUCCGGGCGUCCUGCGGAUUAGAUCGAGUCAUCCGUAUUCUGUCCGUAAUGGAUCAGUAACCUUCCCCCCCUCGGGAUGUCCAUCGCUUUCGUA